rnacentral:lncRNA from 1 species
GGGAGAGCUGACACAUGUGGACGAGGUUGCCCGCAGGGACCUUGCUAGAGACGCCCAUCCAGCAAUCCCAUGAGGCCUAAAUAAGGAAUCCCAGCCUAUGAAGAGGAACCCCAGCCCAGAGGGGUCAGGGACUAAUCUCAGCAAUAGUAACAGCCAGCAUCAGCUGCCUGCUUGCCAGAGCCCCGGCCAUCUGGAGCAGCCUGGAGCAGGGCCAGGCCUGCCUUGCUGGAUAUGAACAGGGCCCCAGGGAUCGAGACCCUGGCGCUGGCAGCAAGGGGCAGUGCUGGAGAAGCACCGUUUAAAACAGAUAGAGCCAGUCGACAGUCUGGAAAAUUCUGCUGAUCAUCGGAUUGUGUAAAGUUGUGGAAGCUUUGGUUCUCAUCAACGCAUACUCAAAACGCAAGCUAUUUCCCGUCAGGGAGAUACUUAAGACAGCGACAGGCUUAGCUAUAAAAGCACCAUUAAUUUGUUCUCUCUUCUGAUGACAGUCCUAUGAAAUAAAUCUAUCAGAGGUCCUGC